GUUCCGGAAGGCGAUUGGGCAGCCGGGCCCGUUCAUCGGGCUGCAGCUAUCUUUCCGAAGAUAGACGGCGGGGAACCGUUCUGCGGGUUCGAAUCCCGCCCGGAGCUCCA
rnacentral:tRNA from 1 species